ACUUCAAAUGACUAAUACAACAAUUCAAGAAUGCAGCGUCUGGACCUCUUAAAAUGACUGUAAUGAUGAGUUGAUGGUACCGGGAGGACACUGAACACACUGCUCCUGCUCCCCGCUGUAGAAUGUCCCCACGCCACAGCUCACUGAGGAGGACAGCACAGGUAAGAAAGAACAGAACAUCAUACCUGAGGCUUCCUCCUCCUUCAUUUCCAUCUCGAACUCAGCUGUGAUGUGAGAA